CCUACGGGAGGUAGCAGUGAGGAAUAUUGGUCAAUGGACGAGAGUCUGAACCAGCCAAGUAGCGUGAAGGAUGACUGCCCUAUGGGUUGUAAACUUCUUUUAUAAAGGAAUAAAACGAGGCACGUGUGCCUUUUUGCAUGUACUUUAUGAAUAAGGAUCGGCUAACUCCGUGCCAGCAGCCGCGGUAAUACGGAGGAUCCGAGCGUUAUCCGGAUUUAUUGGGUUUAAAGGGAGCGUAGAUGGGUUGUUAAGUCAGUUGUGAAAGUUUGCGGCUCAACCGUAAAAUUGCAAUUGAUACUGGCAGUCUUGAGUACAGUUGAGGUAGGCGGAAUUCGUGGUGUAGCGGUGAAAUGCUUAGAUAUCACGCAGAACCCCGAUUGCGAAGGCAGCCUGCCAAGCCAUGACUGACGCUGAUGCACGAAAGCGUGGGUAUCAAACAGGAUUAGAUACCCGUGUAGUC
rnacentral:rRNA from 1 species